rnacentral:lncRNA from 1 species
GUUAGGCAACCAAGUUGAGAAUCUCUGGCAUCUCCAGCUGGAGCCCGGCUUACCCCUGAGGACUGUGAAAUCAACAGAAUUGAAAUAUAGUUUGCUGAUGAUAUUUUGAGAAGUUCAACAACCUGGAUGUCCUACCAAGAUCCUGUUGAUAGUUCUGUGGCUCCUGAAGCCCAGGACCCUUAAUUCAGAAACAGGGAAAACAACUGAGGCCUUCGGUGAUGGGGAGGAAGCCUCUAAUUCCCUAGUUUCACGUUUGAUGAGGUGCCUUCCCACUGAUGAGCACAGCUGGCUGCAUGAUAUCAACAUUGACUUGAACAAAUAAUUCAACCAGAGGAAUAUUAGCAAGUUUUUCACUGUGUGGAUCACACUAAAC